rnacentral:sRNA from 1 species
AAUGUAUUCAAUCACUCAAGGUAUUCAAUGUCUCAAAGUAUUUGAUCACUCAAGGUAUUCAAUCACUCAAGGUAUUCAAUCUCUCAAGGUAUUCACUAUCUCAAGGUAUUCAAUCUGUCAAGAUAUUCAACUGUAAAGGUAUUCAAUCUCUCAAGGUAUUCAAUCACUCAAGAUAUUCAACUGUAAAGGUAUUCAAUCUCUCAAGGUAUUCAAUCACUCAAGGUUUUCAAUCUCUCAAGGUAUUCAAUCUCUCAAGGUAUAGGGUUAGGGCAGAGCAGUGGCAUGUACAUUUAGCAAGCAUCAACAAGGUAUC